rnacentral:rRNA from 1 species
UACGGAGGGGGCUAGCGUUGUUCGGAAUUACUGGGCGUAAAGCGCACGUAGGCGGAUUGGAAAGUCAGAGGUGAAAUCCCAGGGCUCAACCUUGGAACUGCCUUUGAAACUCCCAGUCUUGAGUUCGAGAGAGGUGAGUGGAAUUCCGAGUGUAGAGGUGAAAUUCGUAGAUAUUCGGGGGAACACCAGUGGCGAAGGCGGCUCACUGGCUCGAUACUGACGCUGAGGUGCGAAAGCGUGGGGAGCAAACAGG